CUGACGUCAGGCAGUUGCCGCCUCCUCAAUAAAAGGCAGAGCAGCGAAGGCUGUAAUGUUCUAGGAGAAGUAGCCCUCUCUGCAUUUUCGUCGUGGAACUGGCUGGUGGUAGGAACUGUCCAUAAAAGCAGAUGAAGAAAUUCAGGAUUUUAGCUUGUGAUUAAACAGCAGCAUAUCCUCUCCAUGGUCCACCCUGCCCAUCUAAACAAAAGGUUGCAGCAGGCAGCAGUUCAUAUGUCAAGAUUUGGACAUAGAUAAUCAGAUUGGCAACUGUAACAGAGGACAGGAACACUGCAACAUACCCUUGGCAGAUUAUUUUGUACAUAGCAUCAAGAAUCCAUGGCAAAAGUGUCCCAAGGUCACAAGUCUACUGAGAAGGAUAUAAAUGAAGUCCUCAUCAUGUGAGUAGCUUGCCGAUGAAAGCAAAGACUACAGUGAAAAAAAUCUCAGUGCAAAGGGUCCUCAAUGUGUAGCUGUUCUGUUCAAGCCCCUUUUCCUUCUCCCUUUCUGUUUCCCACAACAUUUGGAUUCUACGUUCCUCAGGAGAGGGCCCACACAGAGCAUUACAUUACAAACACCAAAACUGUGCCUCAAACAAAUGCCAGAGUUGUAUGUUUUUUUGUAUGCAUCUCAUAUGUGUUCCCAUCUCUCUGCUUAAAAUGACAUGAAGCAAUACCAAAAAGGUAUCCCUUGUUUUAUAAAAACACUAGCCAAAUGAGAAUUCAAGCAAAGAAGAGGCUUUGCUUAUGAGACCGAACUGCAGUUCUCACACUAGUCAUAAAGACUGCUCUCACAGCAUGAGCUGCCUGGGUUACCCCAGGCAGUCGUGUUGUCUGGAGCUCUGGGAGCCCUGCACCUCUGGCUGCUCCAGUCCUGGGUAGCCCAACUUCUCUACUUGGCUUUUUUCUGAGGGAGAACAGACUGACACUUCUUUCUACCUCUGCAGGCUACCAUGUGUGCAAUCACCACUGGGAAGCUGGGCUUUCCCUGACCCGCCACCAUUUGGGGCAGUGAGCCGGUGGGAAGGAACGGCCAUGCAGAGUGGAGAGACUGCUCUACUGAGAGCAGCUGCUCACGCGGCACACACUAGGAUGCAGGUCACACUAGGAUGCAUCCUCUUCCUGGUCCUGGUCCCAGCUCAGAACUCUGCCGCCCCGCCACUCAUGUGAGUGUGUGACCCACCAGAGCCCACAAUGGCCACUGCUCAUCAGGCAGGCAAGCUCCUGCCUUCCCCCAGCCCUCCCCAGCAAAGGUCGUGAGCAUGACCUGACUGUUUAGUAAGUAAAAAGUCUUUUUUCCCAAAUCUCGGUUUGCACUAGAUGCAAUGAGGAAGCAAGAUUUUAUAUUCAUUUCUUUAAAAGCUGUGAUACUGGAAAGUUUACUAGGAUAUUUUAAUCUAUUUAUUUAAUUUUAAAUAGAUGCCAAAUGGGGAGGGGGGCAGGGAACCAAACUUAUAAAUGGCCAAGAAAAAUGCUACAAUCAUGUUCUUCUCAGACCCCAUACAGGGAGGUUUAACAAUUAUUCAUUAAAUUUAUUAUUUGACUGAAAGUUUCCAAGGCCAUUUAAGAACACAGACACAAAUAGAGAUGAAGUUUCAAUGUUUUAUUCAAGUUGGGUUUUUCAUUUUAAGUGGUGUCCAGUACAGCAUUUUGGGGUCUAAUUCCACACAAAAAAUGGAAGACUGAAGAUGUACCCAUUAAACUGCUAAAAAAAAGAGUGGUAAAACAAAGUCCAUUUUGUUUAAUGCACUGCCACUAGGUGAUUACAAUUACAAAGACUCUUCCCUGCUUAUGGUUCUGUUGUACAAGCUUUUCCAUAAUUAGUGCAAGGGAAAGGAACCACAACACAGGCUGUGAAUUUUAAGUAUUGGCUGAGUCACAUCAAACUUUCUACACGCCAAAGUUAUACAAAGUGAACACUCUAAAGCACUCCGAGAACAAGCUGUUGGUGUAAAAAGAGAGCUGUAGGUGUAGGAGGGAAAACUAAGUAAGACUUAAAACAGUGUAUGAUGCAUCUGCCUAAGCAGCCCCUUUUCAGACAGUUUGCACACUCCGUCAGAGAGCAAAAGCCUGAUCACACAGGGUCAGGAAACUGAGUUCCCUGAGCACUAUGAUAGACUGACAUUUUCAUAGCCAUAUAUUUCAAGUUUGCUUUGCCAUUAUCUUAAGAACAGUUUAAAGACAAGAUCAGACCUUCAUGGAGUAAUUGGUAAGUAUACAGCUCCAACAAGCAACAUUCCCCAAAGGUCUGGAACUGAAGAAUAUAUUCUCCUCCUCUGAAUACACACACUUUUGAAGCUUCGUCAUCUUUAACCUGGUUCAACAUGACUGACACAGCAAUAAUUGCAUCCCAGACAUAAAACAUUGAAAAGUACACUAAAUUCGGAAGGUAGCUAUGCUGUAAAGUAUUUCAGAAGUAGCAGUGGUACAAUCCCUUUUUUAUGCUUCAAAUUCCAGUCCUAGACCUAGUUUGUGGCCACCUGCAUUGACGUUCUUCCCAUCCAACAAAGCUGACAAUGUCAAUUUGAUACCUGUAUAGAAAACAUUAAGAAAAACAGCAUUCAUAAUUGGGAAUGGAAGGACAUUUCACACAAUCUGGACAAGAAAUGCUUGGAGUUAGUGGUUUAUUUUAUUGUGUUUGUUGUUAUAUAAUAAAGAACUAGGUUUUGUUUU